rnacentral:rRNA from 1 species
AACGAACGCUGGCGGCAUGCCUAACACAUGCAAGUCGAACGAGACCUUCGGGUCUAGUGGCGCACGGGUGCGUAACGCGUGGGAACCUGCCUUUAGGUUCGGAAUAACUCAGAGAAAUUUGAGCUAAUACCGGAUGAUGUCUUCGGACCAAAGAUUUAUCGCCUUUAGAUGGGCCCGCGUUGGAUUAGCUAGUUGGUGGGGUAAAGGCCUACCAAGGCGACGAUCCAUAGCUGGUCUGAGAGGAUGAUCAGCCACACUGGGACUGAGACACGGCCCAGACUCCUACGGGAGGCAGGAAUGGGGAAUAUAGGACAAUGGGCGAAAGCCUGAACCAGGAAUGCCGCGUGAAUGAUGAAGGGCUUAGGGUUGUAAAGCUCUUUUACCCGAGAUGGUAAUGACAGUAUCGGGAUAAUAAGCUCCGGCUAACUCCGUG